rnacentral:rRNA from 1 species
AAGCAACGCGAAGAACCUUACCAGGUCUUGACAUCCCUGACAACCCGAGAGAUCGGGCGUUCCCCUUCGGGGGACAGGGUGACAGGUGGUGCAUGGUUGUCGUCAGCUCGUGUCGUGAGAUGUUGGGUUAAGUCCCGCAACGAGCGCAACCCUCGACCUUAGUUGCCAGCAUUCAGUUGGGCACUCUAAGGUGACUGCCGGCUAAAAGUCGGAGGAAGGUGGGGAUGACGUCAAAUCAUCAUGCCCCUUAUGACCUGGGCUACACACGUGCUACAAUGGGCGGUACAAAGGGUCGCGAACCCGCGAGGGGGAGCCAAUCCCAAAAAGCCGCUCUCAGUUCGGAUUGCAGGCUGCAACUCGCCUGCAUGAAGCCGGAAUCGCUAGUAAUUGCGGAUCAGCAUGCCGCGGUGAAUACGUUCCCGGGCCUU